rnacentral:snoRNA from 1 species
AUGAAGUAUUGGCUGCUAGGUUCGUACUAUUGUAACCUUGAGUUAUAAUUAAGGAGACAUGAAAUCAAGUCUGGUGACUGAACUGUGGCCAUGAGACUAGACCAUGGUCUCUGUGUCAUAGUGUCAAUGUGCCAUAGAUUAUCGUUUUUAGCCUGGUUCCCUGGGUUUGAGAUGGUCUCGUGGUUGUUUGACAGACU